rnacentral:rRNA from 1 species
CGGCGGACGGGUGAGUAACACGUGGAUAACCUACCUAUAAGACUGGGAUAACUUCGGGAAACCGGAGCUAAUACCGGAUAAUAUAUUGAACCGCAUGGUUCAAUAGUGAAAGACGGUUUUGCUGUCACUUAUAGAUGGAUCCGCGCCGCACUAGCUAGUUGGUAAGGUAACGGCUUACCAAGGCAACGAUGCGUAGCCGACCUGAGAGGGUGAUCGGCCACACUGGAACUGAGACACGGUCCAG